rnacentral:snoRNA from 1 species
AUGUGGGAUAUGUGUGCCUCCAAACCUUGUUAUGACAUCGGCACAUUACCCAUCUGAUG